rnacentral:rRNA from 1 species
GGCUCAGGAUGAACGCUAGCGACAGGCCUAACACAUGCAAGUCGAGGGGCAGCACAAGGAGCAAUCUGAGGUGGCGACCGGCGCACGGGUGAGUAACACGUAUGCAACCUGCCUGUAAGCGGGGAAUAACCCGUUGAAAGACGGGCUAAUACCGCAUAAUACUAAAUUACUGCAUGGUAAUUUAUUUAAACAUUUAUGGCUUACAGAUGGGCAUGCGCAUGAUUAGCUAGUUGGAGAGGUAACGGCUCCCCAAGGCAACGAUCAUUAGGGGUUCUGAGAGGAAGGUCCCCCCACACUGGUACUGAGACACGGACCAGACUCCUACGGGAGGCAGCAGUGAGGAAUAUUGGUCAAUGGACGAGAGUCUGAACCAGCCAAGUCGCGUGCAGGAAGAAUUGUCCUAUGGAUUGUAAACUGCUUUUGCAGGGGAAUAAAGUGCAUCACGUGUGAUGUUUUGUAUGUACUCUGCGAAUAAGGAUCGGCUAACUCCGUGCCAGCCGCCGC